rnacentral:rRNA from 1 species
GACGAACGCUGGCGGCGUGCCUAAUACAUGCAAGUCGAACGCAGUGGGGACGGGUGAGUAACACGUGGGUAACCUCCCAUCAGAGGGGAUAACACUUGGACACAGGUGCUAAACCGAUACUGAUGGAUGGACCCGCGGUGCAUUAGCUAGUUGGUGAGGUACCGGCUCACCAAGGCCACGAUGCAUAGCCGACUGGAGAGGGUGAGCGUCCACACGGGGACGGAGACACGCACCGUACGCCUACGGGAGGCAGCAGUAGGGAAUCUUCGGCAAUUGACGAAAGUCUGACCGCGCAACGCCGCGUGAGGGAAGAAGGUUUUCGGAUCGUAAAACGCUGUUGUUAGAGAUGCGUUAUCUAACCAGAAAGCCACGGCUAACUACGUGCCAGCAGCCGCGGUAAUUC